rnacentral:tRNA from 1 species
GCCCGGGUGGCGGAACGGGCAGACGCAGAGGACUUAAAAUCCUCUGGACCUCUGGUCCGUGCGGGUUCGAGUCCCGCCCCGGGCACCA